GAACUUUGACUCUUAGUAAAAAAUAAUGGACGCUCUGGACUCCGGGCAGACGUUUAGUCCGAAACAGGGUCCAGAGUGGGACACUUUCCUCCCAGCAGCAGAUGUCGCUGCAGUGGAGAAGCACCCUCGUCGCAGAAAGCUAUGGCUUGGCCUUGGACUCACUUUGGGGGCGGUUCUUCUGGCCGGGCUCACAGCUGCCUUAGUUGUCAGAUUUCAUUACCACAAUGAAGCCCAGGCCUUGCCCCGCGUUUACACCGGCUCCAUGGAGAUCAGGAACCAGCCCUUCAACCAGGACUACGAGGAGCCCGAGAGCCAGCGCUUCAGAGAGCUGUCGUCCCUGGUCCAACAGCAGGUGUGC
rnacentral:lncRNA from 1 species